rnacentral:rRNA from 1 species
AUUGAACGCUGGCGGCAGGCCUAACACAUGCAAGUCGAGCGAGCGGCGGACGGGUGAGUAAUGUAUGGGGACUGCCCGAUCGAGGGGGAUAACUACUGGAAACGGUGGCUAAUAACGCAUACUAUCGGAUAACCCAUAUGGGAUUAGCUAGUAGGGGGGGUAAAGUCUCACCUAGGCGACGAUCUCUAGCUGGUCUGAGAGGAUGAUCAGCAACAUGGUGACGGAGACAAGGCCCAGACUCCAAGGGAGGCAGCAGUGGGGAAUAUUGCACAAGGGGCGCAAGCCUGAUGCAGCCAUGCCGCGUGUAUGAGGAAUGCCUUAGGGUUGUAAAGGACUUUCAGCUGGGAGGCGUUACCCGCAGAAGAAGCACCGGCUAACUCCGUGCCAGCAGCCGCGGUAAUAC